ensembl:lncRNA
ACAGGGUUUUUUUUUUUCUCUGUAACAAUUCUAGUGCAGCAGUUCUAAUACCUGCUGUGUAGACCUGGCUGGCUUGACUUCACAGAGAUCCACCUGCCUCUGACUCCUGAGUGAUGGAAUCAGAGGCAUGUGACACCACUGCCUGGUUAGAAAUAAAUAAUAUUUGUGGAAGUCUCACAUGGAUAUGACAUCUUUUUCAUCAUGACACUGCUUUUCAUUGAAAAUCAGUGUUUGAUGUAGCCACUUUCCUUAAUUGUUUCCUUUGUGUCUGCUUGAUAGCUUGUUUAAGCAUCUGGAUCAGUAAUACAGUUUUUUGUUAAGGAAAUGACCUGUAUACCUAAAAUACAUUAACCAACCUAUCCUAAAUAUCAGGAAGCCAGCUAACAAAAAAUGACCUUUAGACUUAUUAUUAAAUAUGAAAACUUGGCCUAUAGCUUAGGCUUAUCCCUCUGGCUCUUAUAACUUAAAUUAACCCAUUUUUAUUCAUCUAUGUGUUGCCACAUGACUCAUGAACCUUUCCUUCCCUCCUGCACGUCUUGAUCCCUCUGCCCUGCUGAUGACUCCGCUGUUCUUCCUAGAGUUCUCUGUCCAGAAGUCAUGCCUAUCCUCUUUCUGUAAAACCAAUCAGAAGAUACCUUGGCAAAUACAUAUCUAUACAGUUGUAAAAAAAUAUUCCACAACACCUAAAUGAAAUAUUUUAUAAUUUUAUUCUCUUAACUGUCAAGGGAAUGACAGAUGAACUCUAUUUUCUUUCAGUAAUUAGAGGGUGAUUACACUUUGAGUGUUUUUGAAUUUCAAGGAACAAGGAGGCCUACGGAAAAGGGAAGAAAAGGAAAGGAAUGAUAGUAAAUUAAUCUUGGGUUAGUAGAUGAUCACUGAUCAUGGCUAAUUUUGAUAAUGAGUUCUCAGUAGGUGUAGGAGGCAGUUCUCUGUCACGUAUCAAUUUUUUCAAUGAUUUACUUCUGGGAAGGGAUGAUUAUUGACUAGUGUUUUGAAAUCUUUAAUCUCUUAUUCUAAAAUCUUUGAUCUCUUAUUCUAAAAUCUUUGAUCUCAUAUUCUAUUGAUAACAAUGUGUUUGUCCCGCUGCAUUUAUUAUUCAUUUGCAUAUUUAUUCAGUUACAUUUUAAGUGGAAAUUGAACUCAGUGGCCAUGAGUACAGUUUCUUCUGUAGUGGGAAAUGGAGGAGUCAGGUAUUUGUGUGGGGUUUUUUUUGGCUUGUGUUUUGUCUUUUUGGUUUGAUGUGGGUUUUGGUGAUUUUUCCCUUUUGAAACAUGAUUUCAUUAUGUCAUUUAGCCAAACUGGCAUCCAGGUCACAAUAUUCUUGCCUCAAGCUUCCAAGUGUGGGAAUACAGGCUUAUUUAUUUCUUCACUUUCAUUAAGUGUGUGUGUGUGAGAGAGAGAGUGUGUGUGCAUGCAUGCGGGUGUGAAUUCAUAAUGGGCACCAAAGCUUUCUCUGUCAUGGUGUUCUUGUGGCAAUCUGAAGUUGUAUUUCAGGAAUCAUUUCUUUUUUACUUCAUUGUCAAGUUCUCUAUUAUAUAAAGCUUAUCAAUGAUUCUCAUGAUAGGAUCUUGUCCUUUGAUAAAACAACUGUCUGUAUUUUUAAAUCUUGUGAAAUUUUAUGUGUGUGUUUUUGUGAGAGAAUUUAUGAAUGGAUAUUGAGGCUUGAACUCAGGACCACCUGUAUAUCUCAUUAGGGUACUAACCACACACUUAGCCUGCACUCUUCACAUUGUUUUUGUGUUGUUAAUUUAACUCAGAAUCUUGUCAUGUGGCACAAUUGCUCUAUCGGUGAACCAUACAUCUAUAGCUUGAGUUUCUUUUCUCAACCUCACUGUCUUUCCUAUGUCAUCAGUGCCAAGAGACUACAUACCACAUUCCAUUUUUUACAUAGUUUUUGGUAAAUACCUUGUAGAGGACCUUGGCUGGAUUUAUGAUGAGCUGUGUUUAUUGAGCAUGAUGAAAUAAGGCUCAAAAUGGUUACUCUGAAGUCUAGCCAAAGUGUCCGUUUAAUGACUUAGGUAACAAAAUUUUUAAACUUAAGUCAUUGCAACAUGGUAUCACAAUUUUUUUCAAGGAGACUGGAGCUGUAGAUUUUUCCAAUAUAGUAAAAUUUGUUUUAGACCUUUUACUUUUCCUUAUUUGAAGUGCCUCUAUACUCCCAUCACAUAGUAGCUUUCACUUUCCAUUCCAUUUAAUAAAGAAACUUGAGAAGGACCUUUGAAGUUAAUGUGGAUCUUCUAGUCACCCAGUUCUUCCCUUUGGGAUAAUUUCUUGAACAUGUUCCUAGUCAUUCUGACUGCUUUUCCAUUUACCACAUUGAGAUAUUACUAGAAUGUUAGUAAGGUAUUUGUGUUGAGCUUUGGUUUUCAAGACAGGAAUUCUCUGUGUAACAUUCAGUUCUGGCUGUCCUGGAACUUGCUUUGUAGACCAUACUUGCUUCAAACUCACUGAAAUUUUCCUUCCUCUGCCUCCCAAGUGCUAGGAUUAAAGGCGUGCACCCCCCACCAGUGGCAUUCACUGAUUUUGAGUAAGAUAGGAAUUUGAUAUUUUACCAGAAUGCUGAGAAUGAAUUCAGAGAGGAUUAUUAAAGGUAAACAUCUAGCGUUCCCUCAAAUGUACUGCAAGAAAAAGUAGCCUGGAUGACAUUAAAGGCAACAUAAAACAACAUGUAGAGUUGGGCUUGAUGAGGAACACUUACAUCAUCACCUGCCAAUAUUCUACUCAGCUACAUACCGAGUUUGAGGUCAGCCUGGAGUCUUAAGACCAAGUGUCAGAAGAAAACAAACAAACAAAAAAAAAACUGAACACCUUGCUACAAAAAAAAAUAACAGGAGUUAGAAGAAUGUAUAAUUAUUUUCAAAUUUUACAGUUCACAACUAAAAUUUUCUGGUUCUGAAAAUGUUAAUUAGAUUGUUUAUAUAAAAAUUACCAGAUCUAUCAAUGAACAGAGCAUAAGGAUUUUAGCUUAAGAUACAUGUAAUUUAACACUUGAAAUACCCAAUUUCUAUAGAAGUAUUGUUUGUUGUAUUUUAAUUGAAGAAAUGAACAAUUUACCUACAUGUAUACAUACAUGUUUUUCAUUCUUUCAGCUGAUAAUUACACGUAGGGAUUAUUUUCCUGAGAGUUAAUACUUUUGCAUUACAAUGCAUAUUAUUUUACAGUAAUAUUUGAAGAGUUUUCAAGUUAUUUAAAGUAAACAAUGUAUACAUUCAUGGAAAUUUCCUCGUAAGAACAACUACAAUGAAUGAACAAUUUAUGGAAAUGAAAAAGAUAUUCAGGAAGAAUGUUAUAGUUUGAACACUCCUAAAUAGAAAGGAGUAAGAACACUUCUGUCUGCCUUUGCAUUUUAUAAGGGCCUUUGCAAAUAAACAGAUAAACAAGAAGAAAACAAGAAAAAGACAAUUUUUCCCAGUACCAAUCUCAGGAGUGCUGGGUUUCCAUAUCCACCUUUGUACUCCUAGCAGCACUUAUGGUUUAUGAACAUUUUUUGAAGAAUUUUAAGACACUCUGGGAUUUUAUGAUUCAACAAAAAGUAAUGCAUUAGCCAAUGACCCAAAGGAGAAGACGAAAUUUAACGUGGUCCUGAUGUCAGACUUAUUAAACCUACCUUGAUAUUUACUUAUGAAGUCCAAGAAAAUUGACUUUACUAAAGUGUUGCAUGCAAGCUAUAGGUGAUCUGUGCUUUCAGGUGAUCACCAAAAAAAAGACAAUUAUAACCUUCAUAACUGAAAAAAUGUCUCAUGUGUGGUGUAAGUAGUCUUCACAAUCAUUAAAAUUGAAGCAAAUUGACGGAGACUAAUGGAUUCUUUGAAGACAAUUUUUUUGAGGCAUUUUCAUUGCUGCUGUUGGAUUAGCUCAAGAAAUAAAGACAAAACUACAUGGAUCAAAAUAGUAUGAUGGAAGUGACAUUGGCUUCAUCACAUUGUUUUCUUAAGUAUGAAGUGUUUCUCAUAACAAUCAUUUCAUGAUAAUUUUGAGGCUGAUUUGAAGUUAAUUAUAAUUGAUUAUGAACUUUUUAAAAGAAGUUUUCAUUUUGAUAUUCCUUUUCCAAUGGUUUAUGUAGCACAGCCUGAACUUUGAACUCACACAACUUCCUGAUUGGUGAAAUUAUAGAAAUUUAACCAUGUGCUAAGUUCACAGUAGUAUAUGAAGCUUUAUUAUUUCAUAUUAAGUUCCUCCUAAUUUUAACAUACUGUGUUAACCAAAGUUUAUGGAGUUCUCUAGUACUAUUUGGAACAUUUUUCAUACAUAUUUGUAAUUGCCUCUCAUGAGUUUAGGUAAUAGCUUUACAUUUUCUACAUAGCAAGUAUGUUCAUAUGGAAAUAUGAAUCUUACAAAUAGUUCAAAUAAUUUCUAUUGCUUUGAAGUAACAUGCCAAAGUAUAUCAAAUCUACAUUUUGAGCAAAUGACUUAAGAAUUAAUGGAUUUGACCAUUAUUUAGUUAAUAGUACAUUUAUUGUGGUUACUGGUAAUAUAAUAUUGUAACAUACUAUUUAUUUAAUAUUAAAUCAUCAUGCUAUUCAUUUUUAUGUGUUCUGUUUGAGUUUCCAUGCUGAGUAUCUGUUACUUGUUUAUAAGCUCAUUUGUAAUGAGUGUGUAAGCAACUCAUCAUGUGUGUCAAAUGAAAUAUUAUGUGUUUGUAUUUACUUUGUUUUAAUGUUAGGAUGUAUAUAAAUUAUACAUUGAAAUACAAUCAUUUCUCUCAUGUG